rnacentral:hammerhead_ribozyme from 1 species
CUUUCCCUGAAGAGACGAAGUGAUCAAGAGAUUGAAGACGAGUGAACUAACGACUCCUCCUUCUCUCACAAGUCGAAACUCAGAGUCGGAAAG